rnacentral:rRNA from 1 species
GACGAACGCUGGCGGCGUGCCUAAUACAUGCAAGUCGAGCGCAGGAAACUGACGGAACUCUUCGGAGGGAAGGCAGUGGAAUGAGCGGCGGACGGGUGAGUAACACGUAAGGAACCUGCCUCAAGGAUUGGGAUAACUCCGAGAAAUCGGAGCUAAUACCGGAUAGUUCAACGGACCGCAUGGUCCGCUGAUGAAAGGCGCUUCGGCGUCACCUUGAGCUGGCCUUGCGGUGCAUUAGCUAGUUGGUGGGGUAACGGCCCACCAAGGCGACGAUGCAUAGCCGACCUGAGAGGGUGAUCGGCCACACUGGGACUGAGACACGGCCCAGACUCCUACGGGAGGCAGCAGUAGGGAAUCUUCCACAAUGGACGAAAGUCUGAUGGAGCAACGCCGCGUGAGUGAUGAAAGUUUUCGGAUCGCAAAACUCUGUUGUAAGGGAAGAACACGUACGAGAGGAAAUGCUCGUACCUUGACGGUACCUUACGAGAAAGCCACGGCUAACUACGUGCCAGCAGCCGCUGUAA